ACGGUUAGCUCAGCUGGUAGAGCAUCUGCUUGACGUGCAGGAGGUCAGGGGUUCGAGUCCCUUACCGUCC
rnacentral:tRNA from 1 species